rnacentral:rRNA from 1 species
UACGUAGGGUGCAAGCGUUAAUCGGAAUUACUGGGCGUAAAGCGUGCGCAGGCGGUUGUGCAAGACCGAUGUGAAAUCCCCGGGCUUAACCUGGGAAUGGCAUUGGUGACUGCACGGCUAGAGUGUGUCGAGAGGGGGGUAGAAUUCCACGUGUAGCAGUGAAGUGCGUAGAGAUGUGGAGGAAUACCGAUGGCGAAGGCAGCCCCCUGGGAUAACACUGACGCUC